GAGAAACAAACAAAAGCGCUUUUUCCAAAAGCUCCAACGGAGCGCUUAUUUUCUAAAAGCUAUUUUUUUCCUCUCAUCUUCCUCACACGUGAUAACAACAAUACGCUUAAACUCUUCAUCUAUCUUUUCAGAUAAAGAGCUUCACAGUUAUGUUUGGUGUUCGCGAAGUUUUUCUGUUCAGAAUCGGAGUUGCUACUCAAUUCUGUUUUGGUUCGAGUUUGGAGGUUUCGACGCAGUGCAGAGUUUGGAGGUUUCGACGCAGUGCAGAGUUUGGCUUCGAGCAGAGCUUUUUCACGGUUCAGAUCUUGCAUUCGAGCCAAGUUUUCGCUACAACAUGAUACCAAAUACUACUACAGAAUUGGAAGUGAGGAUUCUUCUCGAGAAUUUUGGGCAAUGAAACAAUCAAAUUGCUUUCAUAAGUUUGGCCACCAAGCAAACUUUAAAAUAUCAAGUAAUCAAUUCAUGGCCAUCUUUGGAGUUUCACAGAUUUUUCUAAGCCAAAUCCCAAAUUUCCAUGACCUUUCAUGGCUCUCUAUUCUUGCUGCAAUCAUGUCUUUUGGCUAUUCUUUCAUAGGCAUUGGACUCUCUAUAGCCCAAGUUGCAGGUGAGGCAAAUCAUUUAGUUAAAUAUGUCUUGUUUUAAUCUAACUAACAUGUGAAUAAUGUUCCUUCACAGUUACUUGGUUGCUCAAUCCAAUUCAACUUGUUGCAUUUCAAAGUAAUGAGGGAAUUUUUCUCUCAAGUUUUUGCUUGAUUCUCAUGUUGGGUGGUGUAAUAGUUAUUACUUAUUUGGUUGUAAUAACUAUUAUGUCAUGAUCCCUCUUUUAAGAAACUAAAUUUAUAUACUGAUAAUUUGGUUGUAAUUAUCACAUUGACGUGUUUUAUGGAGCAUCUAGGUUUCAUAUACAGUGGUGAUGAUGACUAUGACGACGAUUGGGAAGUUGCGGAGAGUACUGAAUUUGACGAAGCUUUCAGCACUUUCCAUUGACAUUCAGCUUCAGCUUUAUGGAUUGUACAAAGUUGCCACCGAAGGAGUGUGUUAUGGACUUACCAAACUCCUGAGAGAAAGUUUCUUAUUAUUUCCCAAAUCCACAUUCACAAAGCCUGCAAAUGAUGACUUGUACAAUUCUCGGUUCAACGGGGAACUGUAUAGAAGUAUUCACUAGUUCUUGAAAUCUGUUACUCUCAGCAUAAUCGUCAAAUGCAGAUGGAGCAAUAGAUUAAGUGGAAUUAUGCAGGGUCAGCCCCUCUGAAUUUGUUAUUCCGUUGGCUAAGUAUAAGAGCCGGAGAAAUUCAUUCACCAUUUACAAUAUAUAGCACUGAUGAUCUUGAUCCGGAUUGCAGAGUAAGAGAAUAUUUGUCUAAAAUUCACUACAAUUAUUGUUAUGUCUAAUUACUGUUGUAUACUACCAGUCUCAAAAAGAGGUACACUGCAUUUUUGUUUUAAAUUCAUUAAUUUAAUGAUAUAUUAUGGUCCUAUCAUAUUUCAUUCCAUUGCUUUUGUCAUUUAUGUAAUUUUGGGAUAAAAAUUGAUUAGGAUUAUGAAUUUCUUAAGUUAUUGAAUGACCCUCUAGAAACACACAUGAUUAUGGUCAAUGUAUUGUUACCAUUACAUUAAAUGACCAAUGCAAUUAUAUUGCUUCUAAUAAGCCUCAUGCAGUUUAAAGUUGUACCUAGUCCAAUUCAUCAUAAGCCUCAUGUAGAUGAAAGUUGUACCUAGUUUAGUUCAUGAUUCGUAUAAAUAACAAUGUCUAAUGGAAUUUUAUUUAGUAACUAUAAACAACUUUUGUAGCUUGUUCUUUUUGCUUAACUUAUAUUUAUUUGUAUUUUUACCAUUGCCUUGUUGCAUCCUUCUGUGCUAUUGACUUGGUUGUACAUAAAUUUAUUAAAAAAGAAUUGGGUACCUUAUCACAACCUCUAAGGAGUGACAGGAGUUGGAUUUCUUCUACUAACAUAUAAUAUAUAGAUUCCUUUAUGUGUCUUUGGAUGGAUAUCUAGUAUCUACUAGGAAGGUUUGCCCGUUCUUUGUAUAAAUCUUUGGUCUAUUUUGGGUCUUGUCUAGUCUAGAAGUACUUUUAAAGGUGCACACAUACAUUCUGCUAUAGCCAAACCCCAAAUGCACCAAUAUGUACAUAAGGUGUAAUACACUCUAAAUUUAUGUAGCCUUACACUUUCCAAAACUUAAAAAAUAAACCUUUAAUAAUUGCUCUCUUUGUGGAGGCGUGGAAGUCGAGAUUGAGAGGUGCGGCGGAGCUUUGAGGUAAAUGUGGAGGUGCGCUGCGGAGUUUAACAUGCUGUGGUUUCAAGUUGAAAAUCCACCAAAUUUUGUUAUAACUCUAAUUUUUACUCUUUUGGCUUCAUGUGCAUUGUUGGUCAUCGAUAAUUGCUCUCUUUAUGUUAAAUCGCCGUUUCUAUUGUUCAGGUUGUUCAAUUGCUGGAAACACCUUUUGUCAAUCUAAUUAACUUUGCUUCAUUGGUGGCUACUAAUCCUGCAAGGCAUGUGUUUGUAGUCAUCUUGCUGUCGUUUUUUAGACAGGUUUCAACAAUUCAACAGUAAAUAGGUUAGGUUUAUGAGUACCACCUAGCAUUACAUCAGCUUAUUUUAAUUUAUGAAAUAGAUAUCAAUCUAAUUUUGCUUACCAGAAAGUCAUCUUUCUUUAACAAUAUGAUAUAUUUCCACAUGUGAAAUAGUAAUUUUAUAUGAAGUCAAUUUGAUUGCAUAUGAACUUGAUCAAAUUCUUUCUGGUUUUACAUAAGAAAGAAAAAUUUGAUACCAUUUGAGUCAUGGUUUUGAAGUGCACGAUUAAGAGUAAUUAAUUAUCUUUUAUAUCCAUGCAAGAAUCCACAAAUUUCUCAUCUAUAUUAUUGACUGUCUCUCAUUUUAACCCUUUUUCUCCUUAAUUCUGAUCUCAUAUCUCACUCUAGAUUGUGUUGGAGACAGAUCAGAACUAAAAGCUUGUUUAAAAAAUGAAAUUUUGGCUUUAGAAGGAAAUUUGAAAUAGCAGUAGCCAAGGCAGUUGCAGAGACGAGAAUAUUAGGUACUAUUAUGGAAUUCAUGAUAAUUUAAUACUUUAUUGCGAUGUUAACAGUCGAUAAUUUGUUUGUUUUCUGAUUUGGUGUUUGCUUCUUAUUUGUUUUCCGGCUGAGUAUUGUCUUAUGUUGGUCCAUGUUGGUGGAAUGUUUAUUGCUGCCAAGGUUCAUGUUCGUUCAAAGUUAUUUUGGAAAGGAAAACGCAUAAGCAAGAGGUGAUUUCAAGAACUCUCGUAAGUCUUACUAUCUAGUCCUUUCAUUCAUAUUUAUUUUCUACUUUUCUGACAAUAAAUAUAGGUACAAUAAAUUGGUUAAAUUUGCAAUCUCAGGAGGAAUAAAUCCACCUGAAAAAUCAUUGUGUCCUAAAUCUAGGUACAAUAAAUUGGUUAAAUUUGCUAUAGAGCUAGAAAUUCCUCCACUUAGUUUACAAAAUGAGAAAUCAAGGUUUUGUAAACUUUUCAAAGUGAAAAAUUCUUGAGGAAUGGAACCAUCAAUAGAAUUUUGAGAAAAAUUCAAUGUGAUUAUUUUUGACAUGUUUCCAAUCUGUGGAGGAAUGGUUCCAUAAAAUUGGUUACCAUAGAUGUUUAGGGUUGUGAGAUUAGGGAGUGAGGAAAAAGUGAGUGAGUGAAGUGUACCUUUUAGUCCAAAAUAUUCAAGGUUUAUGGUUGAAACUGAAUUGGAUUUGUGACAUUGGAUUCCUCUCCAUGUGCAUGGACUUGUGGUGUUUUUCCAAGUUGAUAAGAGAGUUUGGGUUUGGUUAUCAAAGGUAUGUUUCCAUUUUAAUAAAGCCUGUGAUUCUGUUUCAGUGGCUUCAGCUAUAGAUUGUGGCAAUGAAAGUGUUGAAAGUACAAAGAGAAUUAUGAAGAGAAUCAUCAUGAAGGUGGGUGGUAGCAUUAUAAUCAAAGUUGGUUGAGUGUUUAUGAAUUUUUUUCAUGGAUCUCUGUAUAUAAGUUUGAGUUUAGAGUAUAGUUUAUAAAUUAUAACAACGUGGGUUGAUAAGUUUGAAUAAUUUAUUUUGGUUAUAGGGGUACAAUAUGUGUGAACUGUGUAUAAAUGGUUAAAAAAUAGUUAUUAUGUUAAAUUUGGUGGUCAA